UCGGUCGUGUCGUCUCGUCGGGGUCUCGUCUACAGAGACUCCCUGUCGGCUCUGUCCAGGAACCUGAGGGCCCCCGGGGGCCCCCAUCACUGGCCCCUCGGCCCCCGGCUGCAGGGCCUCCACAGCAAACACCACUGCAGACUCAUCAGACCUCACCUCCCAGAAUCCAUUGCUCUUGCUCGAAGCCGUCAGGCAGCACGAAGCACCUGAUGCUGCUCAGCCCCCAAAGAGGCCGCCGCCCACCGGGCUGAACCGCACCCUGAUGAAGACGAAGAUGAAGACGAAGAUGAAGAUGAUGAAGAUGAAGAUGAUGAUGACCAGAGGGCGCCGCAGGGUUCAGAGAUGUAUAAGUGAAGUAAAGAUGAUAAAAUAUUUAUAAAUAAUACAUAUUAUUGAUCAUAUAAACAUAACUCAGUUUAAAAAAUUAUUUAUUUUUAUUGUUUGUCUCUUAUUGAGCUGAUGAAUCUGUUUAAUGCUGUAAAAUGAUCUGAAAUAAACAUACACGUUUA